rnacentral:lncRNA from 1 species
UUGCUCAUGAUUUAGUAAUUAUAAUCAAUUAAUGCCCACGUCGAAUAAUCAUUUUUCGACCCUAAUCUUUUGGAGUCAAAGGUUACAAUUUUUUCACAAAUGGCCGUAAAUACUCGACCAACGUCCGAAUAACAUAAUCGAUCAGCCACUUGAGUUGAUGACUGGAUUAUGAGCAUCUGUAUUGUCUAGAAUAACUCCAGACAUGCUUGGCCAA